rnacentral:lncRNA from 1 species
CUCUGGAUGGGACCCCAAGGACCUGUGCUUGUGUCUGGGUGGGAUCAGCCCUUCCCCUGCUCUGCAGCAGCACAGACACAUGAGCAGUGCUGAAAGAUGGCAUAAAAAUGCAAUGAAAAGGAGCUUUAGAAUGGUAAUGUCUUUUUUUUUUUUUUUUCUUUUUCUGGUGCCUAUAAAUCUGGGGGCUGAUAAAUAUUUGCAUUUUCCCCUGAUAAAAGCUAGUGCGUUACAACUGUAAUGGGAAGUGGGUCUGCUUUGUGGCGAAGUAUAGAUCUCGACAAAUUCUAAUCACCUGCUCAGGAAUAGACACGGGGGAGUGGGGAAUUGAUAGAUAAAGCAUCAGCUAUUAAAAGAAACACCGUGCAGCUCCUCCGGGCUGGAUAAAUCAAGGAGCCCUUUAUAUUCACGUUCACGUGCAGCUCAGGAAGGCAAAUUGACGAGGACUUGAGGUGUACUCUUGUGUCAGAUUAAACUGUGAUUCAUGGCCAGGAAGAUUACAUUUAAAUGUACCUGCUGUGGAAAGUUCUCGUCGCCGUUUCUGGACGUGCUUCUCCCCUAGCAGCCAGGUUUAUUUUGAGUCCUUCGGCCACAGCAAGCCCAGAGCAGGGCCUCUCCCUAGCUCUGCUGCAGACCAUCAACCUGGAUAAAAAAAAAUUUGCAAUUCCCAAACAGAAGGGAGCGGAGAAAAUGGCACAUCGCACAUCGUUGAUUGGGCUAGGGAAAGACAAAGAAAGAAGAGGUGGACUGGAUAUUGUGCGGAGCAGGGACUUUCUUUUUCCCCUUGUGAAAUGCUGGGGAAGAUCUUGUACAUCCAGAGGCACAGCGAUGUGCCACAGCUGUCCCAGGAGCUGAUAGCGGUGGUGGGACAAGGGGAGCGAGGAGAUGGGGGUCCCCAUCCUGCACCCUGUGUUUGCUUUGCACAUCCUGGUGGGCGCAGCAUCCUUUCUGGUGCUGGUCUCUGCAGGACACGGUGCCGGAUCCCGCUCUGCCUCCUCCAGGCUGAACACCCCUUGGUCCAGUCCCACCAGUUUGCUUUGCACUUCUGAGUGAGAGCAGCGUCUGGAUGAGGCCAACUUUCCUUCCUGGACCUCGUCCUGAGGCUCCCACCCUCUCCUGGACCUGGGCACACUGUUGACAAAGGAAGAGGUGGGCGAAGCAUCCAACCCACACUUGGUCCUCGGAAACAACCCUGCAUUGUUCCUGGUGCUGAGCAAGCC